GGUCAAGUUAAUAAGGGCUAAUGGUGGAUACCUAGGCACACAGAGGCGAUGAAGGACGUGUUACCGACGAAAUGUUCCGGGGAGUUGAAAGCAAACUUUGAGCCGGAAAUGUCCGAAUGGGGCAACCC
rnacentral:rRNA from 1 species